AACGAACGCUGGCGGCAUGCCUAACACAUGCAAGUCGAACGAGACCUUCGGGUCUAGCGGCGCACGGGUGCGUAACGCGUGGGAACCUGCCCUUAGGUUCGGAAUAACUCCCGGAAAGGGGUGCUAAUACCGGAUAAUGUCUUCGGACCAAAGAUUUAUCGCCUUUGGAUGGGCCCGCGUUGGAUUAGCUAGUUGGUAGGGUAAAAGCCUACCAAGGCGACGAUCCAUAGCUGGUCUGAGAGGAUGAUCAGCCACACUGGGACUGAGACACGGCCCAGACUCCUACGGGAGGCAGCAGUGGGGAAUAUUGGACAAUGGGCGAAAGCCUGAUCCAGCAAUGCCGCGUGAGUGAUGAAGGCCUUAGGGUUGUAAAGCUCUUUUACCCGGGAUGAUAAUGACGGUACCGGGAGAAUAAGCUCCGGCUAACUCCGUG
rnacentral:rRNA from 1 species